UUAUAAGCGAGAACAGCGAACUUUAUGUGACCUGCACCACAUUUGGGCUCAAGAAACAGAUCCUGGUUUAUGUUUAUUUAUGUAAGGAUGACCUUUGGAUCGAUAACAAGAUACAGAGGGAAGAACAAAGUGACACCCUCUUCACCGUGCACAGAGUCGGUCUUAAUCACAGUGGAAGCUACAGCUGUGUUUACUCCUUAAGGAAUGAUUUGCUUCCCAAAGUAGCGAAGAGAGGACACAACAUCAUUGAGAUUCUGGUUGUAUGUAAGGAUUUUUCAUCCCUAUGAAAGCAUUGUGUCAACGUUAUUUCUCUCCACUCAUUUGUCCUUUCUGCCGCACAGCCAAUUUUCUCCCCGCAGAUAUUUCAGUAGCUGGGCCGUCCACUGUCGGCGAGGGAGACGAUGUUACAUUCAGAUGUACUGCUUCUGACACCCUGCAAACAAUUGAUGAAUGUCAACUCAUCCACUCUUACCUGAGGAAGAAUGACAGCAUCCUCCAAGUGCAGACAUUUCAUGUCACCCGGAGGGAGGCCAUUUUCACCAUCGAAGGUGCCGUCAUGAGGGAUUCGGGCGAUUACAGCUGCGUGGUGCUGCCAUCUAAAUGCAUCCAAGAGCAUGAGAAAACACUCUAUGGAAAUAACACAGUAGUGCUCAAGGUCAAAGGAAAUAUGGACUUUAGGAUGAUUAUCACGUGUGGAGUGAUAACCCUGAUGUUGUUACUGGGUCUGGGUCUGUGGUGGAUCAACAAACGAGGUCAGUUGAUCAGAAGGAAAUCGAAAGGAAAAUCACUCACAUUUUGCAGUGUAUAGUACGAUCAUUCACUGACACACGAAACAAAAUAUCUGUUAUUACUAUUCAGAUCUAAUUUAUAUUCUGUACGACACAGGCUUGUCACACCAACCCCAUUGCAACCUUCAUCAUACAGUAUGCAUGCUUUAUUAUACUCUAAAAUGUUUGUUUUUCCCCCUAUUUCAGCUGGCCACUAUUUGUCCAAGUCAUUGUGAGUUUUGUAUCAUUGAUGUUGUCUUUAAAAGCAUUCUUUAACCUAUGAGCAGAUAAGCAGAGAGUCAUGUAGAUUUCACUUUUCAUUGCUGUGUUCAGUGAUUUGUGCUCAAAUAAAAAUGUUUGAUGUAAUGCAGGAUGUUUACAGUGAAUUAAAACAUGCUGGCUACACAACUGAAUCUGUCAGUGCUGAGUUGAUUAAAGGGCUGAUUGUGUUUUCUUACAGUGUGGCGAGUCUGCAGGCCGACAUGGUGGAGGAACAGCAGGUGCAGACAGAGGGGGAGGAUCUGGAAGCACAA
rnacentral:lncRNA from 1 species